UACGUAGGUGGCAAGCGUUGUUCGGAAUUAUUGGGCGUAAAGGGCGCGUAGGCGGUUUGUUAAGUCGGCUGUGAAAGCCCGGGGCUCAACCCCGGAGGGUCAGCCGAUACUGGCAGACUAGAGUACGGAAGAGGUAGCUGGAAUUCCCGGUGUAGCGGUGAAAUGCGUAGAUAUCGGGAGGAACAUCAGUUGCGAAGGCGGCUCUCUGGACCAGCACUGACACUGAGGCACGAAAGCGUGGGGAGCAAACAGG
rnacentral:rRNA from 1 species